UAAUACACACAAAAUAGCUUAAUAAUACAUUGAAAUGAUAUAAUGUCUGGAACUCUUUUAAAGAUGCUGUAUGUACAUUUUUGACUCUACUAAAGCAUAAAAAUACCAUAAUAUGUUUGCAAAUUUUUAAGAAACAUGCUAAGUUAACAUACUUGUAACAUACGUUCCUGUUGGUGUCAACAAUCAAAAUGGCAACCUGUCUGUAUGUCAAGUUUGAGGAGGAGGGGCCGGGUGAAAAAAACCCUCUCCAAUAUUUUUAAUUUGUACUGCAAUAGCAAGUUCAACCACUUGGUGUCAAUCCUACAUACAGCACCUUUAAACAUUUUUUCCCAAUUCUAUUAUAAUUAUUGUGCUAUUAUAAAUGCUUCGCUGUACCGGUCCUAAGGCCUGGGGGCGAGGGCCUAAUUAGGCCUAAGCAAGGAGGAGGGUGGUCAUCCUGCCGAGGUGACCAGAACUGGAUAACCAGGGAAAUUAUGCAAGAAACUGAUGGACCCACAACAAAUCGCAAAUGGCAACAAUGCUACUGCAUACGAGGAAGAUUGUUUACACCGAAAACAAAAAUUCACCUCACUCCUUGGAAUGUUCAGACCAGCCAUGUGGGUCAAAAGGAGAUCAUUGCCAAAUAGCUGCUGACAUGCAAGAUCUCGAUCGCGGCAUUAUCUGAACUUCGGCUUAUCGGAUCCAGAACAACAACUGUCUACGAACCCAGUUCAAAUGAAAAAGAUAUGCUGUUUUACUCUAGAGGGGAGAAACGAGAAGCUGCAAAGACGACUUCUACGACCAAUUACAAUUAGAGCCCGACCGAUAUAUCGGCCGGCCGAUAUUAUCAGCCGAUAUGAGCUUAUUGUAUUUAAAUCGGCAUCGGCGUUUAUAACGGCCGAUGAAUGAUGAGAAACAGUCUCAUGCUUUACUCAUGUUAUGAGUGUUGCAUAGUUUACCCACCAGAGGGAGCUCUGCAGCUCCAGAGUUGACAACAGCGCCAGAAAUCCACUAGCGAAGAAAGCGAUCAGCCAAGCCAGCCACGGAGAUUUUUUUUUCUGUUUUGACGAUGGCUGAAAAAGGGCAUGCUGUAGCAGCAAAGUGUGGGACUACUUCUGCAAAUACUUUAACUUUAGUAUUAUAAUUUAUUUACAGAACACACACAGACUGUUAAAACCAGCUUCAACUGGAAGAAAGUAAAAGUGUUAAAUGUUUAAAAUCAGGCUGUUUUUUUUAUCAUUAAAAAAUAUAUACUUUUGAUGU